rnacentral:lncRNA from 1 species
UUGAGAUUCUGUAUUUGUUUCCUCUGAGUAGUUACCUUGGCUUGGUGGAGCGUUUGUUGCCAGGUAUCCAUCCCUCAGGCUUGCCCUGCCCUCUGGGUACCAGUGAACUGUGGUGUUAAUUUUAUUGGUCAUAGGGAUUUCCUCCGUCUGGUCACUUUUCCAUCGAAAUAAACAGCGUAACACCUAGGACCCUGUUCAGCCCUCAGCUGCACUGACAAGAUCUCUUCCGCAGCACAUAAAAUGCACUAUGGCGUGUACAGUAUGUGUAAUUUACUUUUACAGGCUGAACUGUUAUUCUCUAGUCCCCACGCUCCGCCAUGUCAGAAAGCAGGACUUGAUGGUCUGUCUGGGUUUCCAUGUUACAGAGAGGAUUCUACAAUGAGGCAAUAGAAAUCAUUAAGACUUGUGAUAUUGAAAUCCUCUUGGUGCAGGCAGACGUGCAGCUCACAUUUCACACACUGGUACAGCAUCGCAGAGCAGUCAUGCCUAGAAUUUCGAGUCAAACAUUUUAUUUAUACUUCUGUUGGGUAAAUGAAGAGCUGCUUCACCGCAGUGACAGUGACCAAACGACGUGGGCACAAACACAGAGCCCAAACGUUAAGAAACUGCACCUAAAUCCAGCCUUGGCCUUCCUGAGAAGCCAGCAUUUCUGUAACAUUCCUUAG